rnacentral:rRNA from 1 species
GAUGAACGCUGGCGGCGUGCCUAAUACAUGCAAGUCGAGCGAACAGACGAGGAGCUUGCUCCUCUGACGUUAGCGGCGGACGUGUGAGUAACACGUGGAUAACCUACCUAUAAUACUGGGAUAACUUCGGGAAACCGGAGCUAAUACCGGAUAAUAUAUUGAACCGCAUGGUUCAAUAGUGAAAGACGGUUUUGCUGUCACUUAUAGAUGGAUCCGCGCCGCAUUAGCUAGUUGGUAAGGUAACGGCUUACCAAGGCAACGAUGCGUAGCCGACCUGAGAGAGGGGUCGGCCACAUUGGAACUGGACCACGGUCCAGACUCCUACGGGAGGCCGCAGUAGGGUAUCUUACGCAAUGGGCGAAAGCAUGACGGAGUAACGCCGCGCGAGUGAUGACGGUCUUCGGAUCGGAAUACUCUGUUAUUAGGGAAGAACCAAUGUGUCAGUAACUAUGCACGUCUUGACGGUAACUAAUCAGAAAGCCACGGCUAACUACGUG